UACGAAGGGUGCAAGCGUUACUCGGAAUUACUGGGCGUAAAGCGUGCGUAGGCGGUUCGUUAAGUCUGAUGUGAAAGCCCUGGGCUCAACCUGGGAAUGGCAUUGGAAACUGGCGACCUAGAGUGCGGUAGAGGGUAGUGGAAUUCCCGGUGUAGCAGUGAAAUGCGUAGAGAUCGGGAGGAACAUCUGUGGCGAAGGCGACUGCCUGGACCGGCACUGACACUGAGGCACGAAAGCGUGGGGAGCAAACAGG
rnacentral:rRNA from 1 species